rnacentral:rRNA from 1 species
GACGAACGCUGGCGGCGUGCCUAAUACAUGCAAGUUGAGCGCUGAAGGUUGGUACUUGUACCAACUGGAUGAGCAGCGAACGGGUGAGUAACGCGUGGGGAAUCUGCCUUUGAGCGGGGGACAACAUUUGGAAACGAAUGCUAAUACCGCAUAAAAACUUUAAACACAAGUUUUAAGUUUGAAAGAUGCAAUUGCAUCACUCAAAGAUGAUCCCGCGUUGUAUUAGCUAGUUGGGGGGGUAAAGGCUCACCAAGGCGAUGAUACAUAGCCGACCUGAGAGGGUGAUCGGCCAAAUUGGGACUGGGACACGGCCCAAACUCCUACGGGAGGCAGCAGUAGGGAAUCUUCGGAAAUGGACGAAAGUCUGACCGAGCAACGCCGCGGGAGUGAAGAAGGGUGUCGGAUCGGAAAACUCUGUUGGUAGAGAAGAACGUUGGUGGGAGUGGAAAGCUCAUCAAGUGACGGUAACUACACAGAAAGGGACGGCUAACUACGUG